AGCGAACGCUGGCGGCAGGCCCAACACAUGCAAGUCGAACGGAUCCUUCGGGAUUAGUGGCGGACGGGUGAGUAACACGUGGGAACGCGCCCUUUGGUUCGGAACAACUCAGGGAAACUUGAGCUAAUACCGGAUGUGCCCUUCGGGGGAAAGAUUUAUCGCCAUUGGAGCGGCCCGCGUCUGAUUAGCUAGUUGGUGAGGUAAAGGCUCACCAAGGCUACGAUCAGUGGCUGGUCUGAGAGGAUGAUCAGCCACAUUGGGACUGAGACACGGCCCAAACUCCUACGGGAGGCAGCAGUGGGGAAUCUUGCGCAAUGGGCGAAAGCCUGACGCAGCCAUGCCGCGUGAAUGAUGAAGGUCUUAGGAUUGUAAAAUUCUUUCACCGGGGACGAUAAUGACGGUACCCGGAGAAGAAGCCCCGGCUAACUUCGUGCCAGCAGCCGCGGUAACAC
rnacentral:rRNA from 1 species